UGGGGAAUUUUGGACAAUGGGGGCAACCCUGAUCCAGCCAUGCCGCGUGUGUGAAGAAGGCCUUCGGGUUGUAAAGCACUUUCGGCCGGAACGAAAUCGCCUCCGUUAAUAGCGGGGGUGGAUGACGGUACCGGAAGAAGAAGCACCGGCUAACUACGUGCCAGCAGCCGCGGUAAUACGUAGGGUGCGAGCGUUAAUCGGAAUUACUGGGCGUAAAGGGUGCGCAGGCGGCCCCGCAAGUCAGGCGUGAAAUCCCCGGGCUUAACCUGGGAAUGGCGCUUGAAACUACGGGGCUGGAGUGUGGCAGAGGGAGGUGGAAUUCCACGUGUAGCGGUGAAAUGCGUAGAGAUGUGGAGGAACACCGAUGGCGAAGGCAGCCUCCUGGGUCAACACUGACGCUCAUGCACGAAAGCGUGGGGAGCAAACAGG
rnacentral:rRNA from 1 species